rnacentral:rRNA from 1 species
UACGAAGGGUGCAAGCGUUACUCGGAAUUACUGGGCGUAAAGCGUGCGUAGGUGGUUCGUUAAGUCUGUCGUGAAAGCCCCGGGCUCAACCUGGGAAUGGCGAUGGAUACUGGCGAGCUAGAGUGCGGUAGAGGAGAGUGGAAUUCCCGGUGUAGCAGUGAAAUGCGUAGAUAUCAGGAGGAACACCGAUGGCGAAGGCAGGUCUCUGGGCUGACACUGACGCUCAUGCACGAAAGCGUGGGGAGCAAACAGG